rnacentral:rRNA from 1 species
GGGGAAUAUUGCGCAAUGGGGGAAACCCUGACGCAGCGACGUCAUGUGAAGGAUGAAGGCUUUAGGGUUGUAAACUUCUGUCUAGAGGGAAGAAUUAAUGACUGUACCUCUAAAGAAAGCACCGGCUAACUCCGUGCCAGCAGCCGCGGUAAUACGGAGGGUGCAAGCGUUAUUCGGAAUUACUAGGUGUAAAGGGCGUGUAGGCGGUUUAGUAAGUUAGGUGUGAAAUCUCAUGGCUCAACCAUGAGUCUGCAUCUAAAACUGCUAGGCUUGAGUAUGGAAGGGGAAAAUGGAAUUUCUAGUGUAGCGGUGGAAUGUGUAGAUAUUAGAAGGAACAUCGAUGGCGAAAGCGAUUUUCUAGUCCAAUACUGACGCUAAGGCGCGAAAGCUAGGGGAGCAAAC